rfam:Mus musculus chromosome 13, GRC primary reference assembly.
CCAAAGGCUCUUUUCAGAGCCACCCCCGUUUUCUAUAAAAGGCUGU